UACUAGGCAUUUCAUCCUGCGGGUUGCAGUCUGUGCUCUUCAGACUGUUGCUGGGUUGAAAUGCUUCUGCAGGACCGAUUCUGAGGUUGUGUAGAUAUUUCUCAAGGGCCUACUCAUUUGAGGAUAUCAGCGACAUUUUGCAAGAUCAUCUGAGGAACAGGAAAGCAUCUGAAAUCAACUGAAAAGGAUAACUGUAGCGGUUUUUUACCGGGGAAGGAAACUGUCUUGGCACAGAGGCAGAUGAUUGAAUAAAGUAGUUGGCUCAGAGAAGAUGCACAGUCUGCUGUUUUUCCUCUGAAUGAAGACCGUUUAAUGGAAGCUGUAUUCGUGUAGAGAUGAAAGGAAAUACUAGCGUGAUAAACUACUUUCUUCCCUUCGUUUUUUAAAAUGAAAGAAAACUCAGAAGCAGUAAUUGGAGCUCAAAGGUCUUCUGAUUCUUUUCCUGUCUGCUUGUUGUGUUAGGAUUCUCCAUUGACACCAUUUCUGCCUGGUGCCUGGUUCUUUUUGCUGGGCAGCCAGAAACAACUGCCUGAUGGAGAAAGAAUGAAAGCUUUGCCGUGCCUAUGUUCCUGAUGGGAAAAAGCUAUCUGUGUUUCGGCUGUUAUAUGCGAAGUCUGGAUUAAUCAGUUUGUGUUCUCGUACCAGUAGUCCUGUUGCCUCCUGUGAUCUGACUCAUCACGUGUAAAUGUGCUGCAGCUUUGCUGUUAAUGCAGAGUGGUGGCUGUUUGCUUUUUCUUUCUUUCCUGAACACAGGAAGAAUUGUCAACCCUUCAAUUUUUAGGAUUUAUGCUAAAUUCUAUAUCUUUUUGUUUGUUUCCUGGAUAAUAUCUGUAUUAAGUCAGUGAAACUGAAAAAAAUGAAGACAAAGUAGAAGUGGGAACAGAACAGUGAGAUUUUGUUUUUUUAUUUUCAGCUACAAGCCGCCCAGCCUACUGGUAACUAUAUGACCUUGUAGACAAGAGUGGGAUAUCCGUGGCCACCCUCUCUCAUAGCAGUUGUUUCUAAUUGCAUUUUUUAUGCUCUGGUGGCGUGUCACCCAAAACAGUGAUUGUUUUGUACAAGUAAAUUUCAGAGCUCAAUGUAACUACUUUGGUGGAAGAAAAAUAUUUUUAAAAGAAUUAGUCCUUGACGGAGUUUUAAUUAUUGACACAUUGAUGUGAAACUUUUUAUAGAUUGCAAUAACCUGGCAGAAAGAAAUAGGUUUUUCUUUUAGGAAGUUAUGUAUCUUAAUUUUAAACGUGAGUUUCUCUAAUAUUAUCAACUAUAAAACCAGCUGCACUGUUCAGAGAAUGUUCAUAAGUGGUGUACAGAAGAGGAGGAAAAACUGCUUGUGCUCGUCCCACUGUGACUUCUAUCACGUAGCGUGGAGUUGAAUGUUUUAAAAGAGCGAAUGAGUCGAGUGUGUAUUGUUGUUUUGGAGGAGGUAGAAGAUGAUUCUCCUGUAUUCAUUUCUAAAUUGCCCCAGGAAAGUAAAUCUCUACAUUCUCCAUCCUCUGGAAAUGUAUUGCCAUCACUGGUGCAAGCUAUAUUUAACGGUGAUCCAGAUGAAGUUCGAGCACUAAUAUUUAAGAAAGAAGAUGUUAACUUUCAGGAUAAUGAGAAGAGAACUCCUUUACAUGCUGCUGCCUAUCUUGGAGAUGCAGAAAUCAUUGAACUGCUUAUUUUAUCUGGAGCUAGAGUUAAUGCCAAAGACAGCAAAUGGUUGACACCUUUACACAGAGCAGUUGCAUCUUGUAGUGAGGAAGCAGUUCAGAUACUUUUGAAGCAUUCUGCCGAUGUUAAUGCUCGAGACAAAAAUUGGCAGACCCCUUUACAUAUAGCUGCUGCUAAUAAAGCUGUAAAGUGCGCCGAGUCUUUGGUACCUCUUCUGAGUAAUGUGAACGUAUCGGAUCGAGCAGGAAGAACUGCAUUACAUCAUGCAGCUUUCAGUGGGCAUGGCGAGAUGGUCAAACUACUCCUGUCCAGAGGUGCCAAUAUUAAUGCUUUUGACAAGAAAGAUAGACGUGCCAUCCAUUGGGCAGCAUAUAUGGGUCACAUUGAAGUAGUGAAGUUACUUGUGUCUCAUGGAGCUGAAGUGACGUGCAAGGAUAAGAAGUCUUACACACCUCUUCAUGCAGCAGCCUCUAGUGGAAUGAUCAGUGUAGUCAAAUACCUUCUAGAUCUUGGAGUUGAUAUGAAUGAACCCAAUGCCUAUGGAAACACACCUCUUCAUGUGGCCUGUUAUAAUGGACAAGACGUUGUUGUAAACGAACUCAUAGACUGUGGUGCUAAUGUGAAUCAGAAGAAUGAGAAAGGAUUCACUCCUUUGCACUUUGCUGCUGCAUCCACACAUGGAGCACUGUGUUUAGAACUCCUGGUUAGCAAUGGGGCUGACGUCAAUAUGAAGAGUAAAGAUGGGAAAACCCCACUACACAUGACUGCUCUCCACGGUAGAUUCUCCAGAUCACAAACCAUUAUCCAGAGUGGUAAAAAGAGCUGUAAUUGACUGUGAAGAUAAAAAUGGAAACACCCCUUUGCAUAUAGCAGCCCGGUAUGGCCAUGAGCUGCUAAUCAACACUCUUAUUACAAGUGGUGCUGACACUGCAAAGCGUGGUAUACAUGGAAUGUUCCCACUCCAUUUGGCAGCCUUAAGUGGUUUUUCGGACUGCUGCAGGAAACUUCUUUCUUCAG